AGAAUCAACGCUGGCGGCGUGCCUAACACAUGCAAGUCGAACGAGAAAGUGGAGCAAUCCAUUAGUAAAGUGGCGCACGGGUGAGUAACACGUGACUAACCUACCCUUGAGUGGGGGAUAACCUAGGGAAACCUGGGCUAAUACCGCAUAAUACCUUCGGGUCAAAGGAGCAAUUCGCUUAAGGAGGGGGUCGCGGCCGAUUAGUUAGUUGGCGGGGUAAUGGCCCACCAAGACUAUGAUCGGUAUCCGGCCUGAGAGGGCGCACGGACACACUGGAACUGAAACACGGUCCAGACUCCUACGGGAGGCAGCAGUGGGGAAUUUUGCGCAAUGGGGGAACCCUGACGCAGCAACGCCGCGUGGAGGAUGAAGUCCCUUGGGACGUAAACUCCUUUCGAUCGGGACGAUAAUGACGGUACCGAGAGAAGAAGCCCCGGCUAACUUCGUGCCAGCAGCCGC
rnacentral:rRNA from 1 species